CCUACGGGCGGCAGCAGUGAGGAAUAUUGGUCAAUGGCCGCAGGGCUGAACCAGUCAAGUCGCGUGAGGGAUGACGGUCCUAUGGAUUGUAAACCUCUUUUGUCAGGGAGCAAAGGGCGCCACGUGUGGCGCUUUGCGAGUACCUGAAGAAAAAGCAUCGGCUAACUCCGUGCCAGCAGCCGCGGUAAUACGGAGGAUGCGAGCGUUAUCCGGAUUUAUUGGGUUUAAAGGGUGCGCAGGCGGAAUGUCAAGUCAGCGGUAAAAUUUCGGGGCUCAACCCCGUCGUGCCGUUGAAACUGGCGUUCUUGAGUGAGCGAGAAGUAGGCGGAAUGCGUGGUGUAGCGGUGAAAUGCAUAGAUAUCACGCAGAACUCCGAUUGCGAAGGCAGCAUACCGGCGCUCAACUGACGCUCAUGCACGAAAGCGUGGGUAUCGAACAGGAUUAGAUACCCCAGUAGUC
rnacentral:rRNA from 1 species